GUCAAGGGGGCUCCUCUCCACAGGUUCCCAACUACCAUGUUUGUUUUCAGGAAAAUUAUGGCCUGAGCCGCCUGAAGCUGCAAGAUGAUCAAGUUCUUCUUCCUGUUAGCCGUUUCUGUUAGGACUUGGUUGCCGAGUGGGGAGAGAGCCGGUUGGCUACAGCUGCUCUUGCAGGCAUCCUGGAGACCUUUGCUGAGCACUGGUUGGUGCCAGACCAGCCCAAGGGUUUCUCAAAAGCCCCAAUGAAAAGUCAAAGGGAAGGUUACAGUGAGGAUGGGGUGGGUUCCUGUCUGGAUACGAAGCUGGCACGUGACAGCAUCUUUCCCUCACUGCUUGCCAUUAGCUGUUUGGGGAAACAGGAGUGGAUUUUCCCUGGAGG